rnacentral:rRNA from 1 species
GACGAACGCUGGCGGCGUGCCUAAUACAUGCAAGUAGAACGCACAGUUUAUACCGUAGCUUGCUACACCAUAGACUGUGAGUUGCGAACGGGUGAGUAACGCGUAGGUAACCUGCCUGGUAGCGGGGGAUAACUAUUGGAAACGAUAGCUAAUACCGCAUAAUAUUGAUUAUUGCAUGAUAAUUGAUUGAAAGAUGCUAUUGCAUCACUACCAGAUGGACCUGCGUUGUAUUAGCUAGUAGGUGAGGUAACGGCUCACCUAGGCGACGAUACAUAGCCGGCCUGAGAGGGUGAUCGGCCACACUGGGACUGAGACACGGCCCAGACUCCUACGGGAGGCAGCAGUAGGGAAUCUUCGGCAAUGGACGAAAGUCUGACCGAGCAACGCCGCGUGAGUGAAGAAGGUUUUCGGAUCGUAAAGCUCUGUUGUAAGAGAAGAACGGGUGUGAGAGUGGAAAGUUCACACUGUGACGGUAUCUUACCAGAAAGGGACGGCUAACUACGUG